UUGGAGAUUGGCGUGGGCGGAUUGCUUACCCAAAUUGGUCAGGUCAGAAAUGAAGCAGCCACAAGUUUGCUUAUCCGGGUCAUUGCCAAUCUCUUCUUU
rnacentral:SRP_RNA from 1 species